AUGUUUGUUUCCUACUCUCGCCGCAAACUCCGUGCUGAUUUCUUACCUUUCUUUCCUAGGAGUAGCAGUCCUGGGUCUCGGUGCAGUCUGAUGAAGCUGAUAAUUUUAAUCAGAGGUGGCUGCUGUUGUAAAAGGCUAUUGUUCUGUGGAUCCCACGUUGCUUGUUCUGGGCUCAGUUCUUCUCCAGUAUUUGCCAAGAACUUAGCAGGAUUGGGAAGGACUGCAGGACUCCAGAGGGCAUUCCCCCAUAGACAGCACAGGGAUGUUGCUGUUGCCACCCUUGGAAUAAAGCCUCCCUGUUUUGCCCACAGUCCUGGUGCUGCACAGAACCUAUCCACAGCCAUCCACAGCAACCACUGAGAUUCCAUGGCUGUUGCAGGCACAGCUUGACACGCCUGUGAGUGUCUGUGCCCCCAGACCUCAAAGGAUACAGCACAGGCUGUGGGAUGAGUCCAGCUGGAACUGUGAGAGGAAGCAGCUCCCACUGAAGUCAGGGUCACGGUCAUCCUAAGCAGGAUGUGCAUCUGGGGACUCACAGGCUAACACAAAGGCAAAACAACAUUGAUCAUAUUUGGGAAGCAGCAGAUCCUGCAAACAACUUCAGAUUUGGGAAGAAAGGGCAGGAUGUGGCAGAGCACCACUGAAGAGCUGCAGCAGUACUGAGCUGAUACUGAGUUAUGAGCAGAACUGAACUCUUUUUGGACCACAGUACGAGGUCUCCUUUGUCGGCUCCUGAGCCUUUUGGCAAAAGGUGGGGGAGUACUUUCAAGGCUCAGACAAAUUUUUGACAUUAAAUAUGAUGCUUCCCAUUUCUAAUUCAUUAGUUCAGAUCAAACCUGGACUGUUUCUGGUGUCUUGUCAGCUCUUGUGUAGCUUUGAUCCAAAAAGAGUGACCAGCAACCUGGUAUCAUUGCCAUAGGAACAGGAAUGGCCACAAAACCCAGCAAAGCGAAAUCCUGUAGUGCUACAGAAAAUAAACUCCUCUUUCAUCCCUAUGGCUCA
ensembl:lncRNA